GAAUAUGAAGGUGAUCUGGCACAUCUGCCACCCCAUGGGUCACCAGUGUUGAUUCCCAUGAUUUGGCUGCCUCGGCAGGUGUCCCCUUCCUCCCUCACUGCUCCACGUCUAUCCCUCCCAAAACUGCACACUCAGUCGAAGAGGACAGCCUUCCCCUAAAGAGGAGGACCAUUCUUCAGUCCAUGGUGUACGAGUAGCUGCAUUCCCUGGCUAGAACCUCCAAACAAGCUCUCCAGGUUCAUUUGUAGGAGAACAUAGGUUAGUCAAGCUUCUGAGACUCCAGACACAUCCAAAUAAGGUGCUGCCUGUGGCAAUCUGCUUUUU
rnacentral:snRNA from 1 species